UUAUAAUAUCUAGUAGAUAUGAGGAGGCAUAUGGGAGCCAAAUUUCUGAGAAUUUGAAGUCAUUUGUUGUUAGACGCACUGCUGUAGAUGUGGAUGAAAAUUCUUACUAUUAUUUGCCAUACAACCCACUUGGCCACCUCCACCGUAUGCAGCAUGCCAUAAUUGUUUAUUAUUUUUUAGCAUAUUGAAUUAAUUGCUAUACUCAGAUGCCGACGCCGCCGCACGCCACCGUAUUAAAUAAUUGUUUAUUAUAUUGUUAUUUACCAUACUCAGUUAAUUGCUUACGCUGCCGCCGCACGCCACCGUAUUAAAUAAUUGUUUAUUAUAUUGUUAUUUACCAUACUCAGUUAAUUGCUUACGCUGCCGCCGCACGCCACCGUAUGCAGCAUGCCAUAAUUGUUUAUUAUUAUUUGCCAUACUCAGUUCAUUGCUUGCUUACACCACAGCCGCCGCUGCCGUUUUAUAUUAUUAUUAUUUAUUUACCAACCAGCUAUCUUUUUGAUUACAUUUUAGUUCAUUAUUUUUUAUUUUGAUUUUAUAAUUAUUUUAGGUUUUAUAUUAAGAUUAUUAAUUUAAUUUUUUAAUUAUUGUAAUAAUGAUAGAAUUAGUAUAUUUAUUUGUUUAUAAUAUUUUAUCUUGUUAAUUUAUUAUAAGGAAUUAGGCAAAAUUGAUUUCCGCCUGUUUAUCAAAAACAUGUCCUCUUGAUUAUAUUUUGAGGUCUGGCCUGCUCACUGACGAAGUUUUAAAGAGCCGCGGUAUUUUGACCGUGCAAAGGUAGCAUAAUCAUUAGUCUCUUAAUUAGGGGCUGGAAUGAAUGGCUUGACGAGAAAUCAUCUGUCUCUUAUUAAAUUCUAGAAUUUAACUUUUAAGUUAAAAGGCUUAAAUUUUUCUUUAAGACGAGAAGACCCUAUAGAGCUUAACAUUUUAUUUUUAUAUAAUUUUUAGUUGAUCUUUUUAUAUUUAAAGAUAAUGUUUUGUUGGGGUGACAUGAAGAAUAAAUAAACUCUUCAUUCUAAAAUCAUUGAUUUAUGUUUAAUAUGAUCCAUAAUUUAUGAUCAUAAGAUUAAGUUACCUUAGGGAUAACAGCGUAAUUGUUUUUGAGAGCUCAUAUUGACAAAGCAGAUUGCGACCUCGAUGUUGGAUUAAGAAUAAUUCUGGGUGCAGUAGCCCAGUAAUUAGGUCUGUUCGACCUUUAAAUUCUUACAUGAUCUGAGUUCAGACCGGCGUGAGCCAGGUCGGUUUCUAUCUUAAGUUUUAAUUAUUUACAUUAGUACGAAAGGACCAUGUAAUUAAAAUAUUUUUAUUAUUUAUUUAUUGAUUUAAAUUAAUAUUUACUAUUUUGACAGAUUAAUGUGUUGAAUUUAGAAUUCAUU
rnacentral:rRNA from 1 species